GUGACAACAUGGUUGGACCUUGAGAAGAUUAUACUAAGCAAAACAAGUCAGGCAGAAAAAGCUAAGAGCAAUAUAAUUUCACUCAUACAGGUUAUAUAAAAUGACACUC